rnacentral:rRNA from 1 species
UACGUAGGGUGCGAGCGUUAAUCGGAAUUACUGGGCGUAAAGCGUGCGCAGGCGGUGAUGUAAGACAGGUGUGAAAUCCCCGGGCUUAACCUGGGAACUGCAUUUGUGACUGCAUCGCUGGAGUGCGGCAGAGGGGGAUGGAAUUCCGCGUGUAGCAGUGAAAUGCGUAGAUAUCAAGAGGAACACCAGUGGCGAAGGCGAGUCCCUGGACAACACCUGACACUGAGGCACGAAAGCUAGGGGAGCAAACAGG